CGUCAAGGGAUGGGAAUCGAACCCACGACCUUCCGCUUACCGGGCAGAUGCCAUGACCAAACUAGACUUCCCUGGAC